rnacentral:tRNA from 7 species
GGACCUGUAGCAGAGCUUGGAUAAUGCGCCUCGCUUCGGACGAGGAGAUCCUGGGUUCAAAUCCCAGCGGGUCCA